GAAGAGCGCAGGAAGAAAAAAAUUAGAAGACGGACUGGAUGUGGAGCUGGUUCUGUCCAAGGAUUUUAGUUUCCUUUGAGAGAAAUUUUCGAUUGGUUUUUUUGAUUGCUGAAAACCUGUUCAACAUCGGAGGGACGGUUGUUCGGAGGAGAACGAUCGACGGAGAAGCACGGUCACACGCAUCCUGCCAGGAUCCGCACCGGAGCCGAGCGCCCUCCGUUGGAUUUCAGAUAAGAAGGGACACAGAACAGAGGGAGGACAACUUUGUGGACUGACUGGACUGAAUGACUGACUGGACACAACAAUCUUUUAUCUAUAUAUAUAUAUAUAUUUCUUUGAUAAGCUCACGAGCACGGUUAUCUUUUGAGGGGUGGAAGUAUUUGUUUUAUAUUAUUUGUAAUAACUAUUUGGUUUUCUCUGGUACAGUUUUGUUUGUGGGGUCCGUAUAAUAACGUAUAUGUUUUAUUCUUUCUUUUGGUAGUUAUGGAAAUCCAAACUGGAAUGGGAAGGGAUUUGGGAAUGAUUGUACAGAGAAUGGACCAGGCUGAGCCUUAGAAAGAAGUUAGCUUAUUGUUAUAUUAUUAAUUCAGUGAAUGGUUGUAGUUCAAAAUAAAUAAGUUAAGUAAAUUCGUUUUUUUGUGGUUUCGUUUUACCAAUUAUCCUCCUCCCUGAACCUAGAAAGAAGGGUUACAUCAAUCAUUUUGUGGCGAGCCAGCCAGGAGGAUUUUUGAGUAAAACAGCCUGGGAUUAAUCAGUAGGUAUUAGAUAUAGUCCCUAGAAGUAUUUUGAGGAUAGGGUACAAAAAAAAAAAAAA